GUUACAGGCUUAACACAUGCAAGUCGAGGGGCAGCAUUUUAGUUUGCUUGCAAACUGAAGAUGGCGACCGGCGCACGGGUGAGUAACACGUAUCCAACCUGCCGAUAACUCCGGGAUAGCCUUUCGAAAGAAAGAUUAAUACCGGAUAGCAUACGAAUAUCGCAUGAUAUUUUUAUUAAAGAAUUUCGGUUAUCGAUGGGGAUGCGUUCCAUUAGUUUGUUGGCGGGGUAACGGCCCACCAAGACUACGAUGGAUAGGGGUUCUGAGAGGAAGGUCCCCCACAUUGGAACUGAGACACGGUCCAAACUCCUACGGGAGGCAGCAGUGAGGAAUAUUGGUCAAUGGGCGCGAGCCUGAACCAGCCAAGUAGCGUGAAGGAUGAAGGCUCUAUGGGUCGUAAACUUCUUUUAUAUGGGAAUAAAGUUUUCCACGUGUGGAAUUUUGUAUGUACCAUAUGAAUAAGGAUCGGCUAACUCCGUGCCAGCAGCCGCGGUAAUACGGAGGAUCCGAGCGUUAUCCGGAUUUAUUGGGUUUAAAGGGAGCGUAGGUGGAUUGUUAAGUCAGUUGUGAAAGUUUGCGGCUCAACCGUAAAAUUGCAGUUGAAACUGGCAGUCUUGAGUACAGUAGAGGUGGGCGGAAUUCGUGGUGUAGCGGUGAAAUGCUUAGAUAUCACGAAGAACUCCGAUUGCGAAGGCAGCUCACUAGACUGUCACUGACACUGAUGCUCGAAAGUGUGGGUAUCAAACAGGAUUAGAUACCCUGGUAGUCCACACAGUAAACGAUGAAUACUCGCUGUUUGCGAUAUACAGUAAGCGGCCAAGCGAAAGCAUUAAGUAUUCCACCUGGGGAGUACGCCGGCAACGGUGAAACUCAAAGGAAUUGACGGGGGCCCGCACAAGCGGAGGAACAUGUGGCUUAAUUCGAUGAUACGCGAGGAACCUUACCCGGGCUUAAAUUGCAACAGAAUAUAUUGGAAACAGUAUAGCCGUAAGGCUGUUGUGAAGGUGCUGCAUGGUUGUCGUCAGCUCGUGCCGUGAGGUGCCGGCUUAAGUGCCAUAACGAGCGCAACCCUUAUCUUUAGUUACUAACAGGUCAUGCUGAGGACUCUAGAGAGACUGCCGUCGUAAGAUGUGAGGAAGGUGGGGAUGACGUCAAAUCAGCACGGCCCUUACGUCCGGGGCUACACACGUGUUACAAUGGGGGGUACAGAAGGCGGCUACCUGGUGACAGGAUGCUAAUCCCAAAAACCUCUCUCAGUUCGGAUCGAAGUCUGCAACCCGACUUCGUGAAGCUGGAUUCGCUAGUAAUCGCGCAUCAGCCAUGGCGCGGUGAAUACGUUCCCGGGCCUUGUACACACCGCCCGUCAAGCCAUGAAAGCCGGGGGUACCUGAAGUACGUAACCGCAAGGAGCGUCCUAGGGUAAAACUGGUAAUUGGGGCUAA
rnacentral:rRNA from 1 species